UGACUUGUCCUUGUGAAACUGGUCUAUGUCUAUGAUGAAAGAAAUUGUUUUCUGCUUUUAGUUUUACUACUUACAAAUAUUUACCCAGAAACAUUAUAUGAAGAAAAUAUUGUCAAUGAUGGAAACAAAUGAACGCACCUACAUGUCUUAGUGUUAGUUGAUUUCAUGGCCAGAUGAAUAAGCAGGAGUGGUAUUCAUUAGUGUAACAGAGGAAUGCACUAUUCUAGUUAUUAAUUCUUUUACGUGGAGUGUUUUUUUUUUUUUUUUUUUUUUAAUUGGAUGACACUCGUAUCUGUAAUUUGAUGUUCUUUUGUCUCACUUUGUUGACAUCAGGGAAGAUGUUGAAACCAUUGAUAGAUUUGUAGCUGAUGUUGAAGCUAGCUAUAAUAAGUGGCGGCACCCUGAUCCCUACGUUGGUAAAUUCCUUUGCUAGCUUUAAUUUGUGUGGCAAGUUGGAUAUCAACCCCACGAAAGAAACUUUACCAAGAAUAUGGCAUAUUAAACCCAGUGUAUGAGGAACAAGCUUCAACUGGAAUCAUUUCCUUGAAAUUGCGCUUGCAUAAUAUUGUGUCCAAAUCUUCAGGUUUGCCCUUUUUGCUGUGACUUGCUCCCGACAGUGGGAGUCGUAAGAUGUUUGCUUGCUGGGAGAUAAUCUUUUAAAUUAUGAGGGAAAGAUUGCAUUUCUGACAAUAUCAUAUCUAUUUUAAAGUGGAUAAGUUCUCAUAUAUUUCUCAAUUUUCUGCUUAAACGAUGCUAACUAUCUGAUUUUGUUCCUUAAUACAAUGUUCAAUUGUGGACAGCCAUAAACCUAAGUUUACACAUUUACAUGUGUGCAGAUAUUAAGGGAAGAGAAUCAUAAAAUCAGAUGUAGUUGGACAUGUUCAUUACUGUUUUGGAAAGACAAAAUUUUUAAGCAACUGUUACUACUAUAUUCUAGACUAUUACUAGUGUCUUCUUUUUUUUCGUUACCUUGAUGAGCAGUUCCAUGGGCUCCUGGUGGCUCCAAGUUUAACAGAAACCCAGUACCGCCAGAAGGGGUAAUCUAGUCAGAAUUUUAUUCAAAUUGCUCACCUUCUCUCAUAUAUCAAUUAACUGGUUGCUUGAGUUCUUUCCUGCUACCCCCGUAGUAAAUUUCUACGGAUACCUUGUCUUUCGAUUUCUGUUUACUGCUAUGGGUCGAAUAUAGAUGCCAUCAAAUACAUCCAUAAAAAGGGCAGGUCGGUGCACUAAGCUCCGGUUGUACUACUUGACUGUUCAUUUCCUCGUUAUGGAAUACUGUCAAUAAUGUAGCUUUACUUUUCUAGGUUCAUGCAUCAAGAGUGAAGGUUGUUGGUGCAAGAGUUCAAUUUGUUUAGCAGACUUGAUUUUUAUGGGGACUUCUAGUUACUGAGGGCCUUGUUUGCUAUAAACUCGAUUGAGAUAGUGUAUGACUAUGGCAAGGAAGAGGCUGAAUUAGUAUGAUCCUGUGUCAUGGAUAUAAAUUAAGAUUCAGAAGGUGCAAGCAUGUGUGAGAACAUUCAAAUCAUGUUUGUUUCCUUUCUGAGUGAUACUGCUUCACUGACUUCUCAAUGCAAAGUUUAUAUGAUUUUUAGUUUUACACUUCGAAAUGGGAAUUGGUACAAUGCCGUGGUUACUUGAAUUUUUCCGCCCAGUAGUUAUGUUACGUCCCGUAUUUUUAUACAUUGGGACAACCCGGAUUAACUAUGAUAAUUUGAGGCCAAGACUAUUCCGGGAUUUGACGUCGGGACUUUUGACCAUUCGAUUUUAUUUUGAGACAUAAGUUGAAUAUGAAAUUGAUGGCAUCGAACACUUAGGAAAAAUUGGGACCACAAUUCAUAAAAUUGGAAUUAAAAAAAUCUUGCCCAAAAAUGGCCUUGUAGCCGUGUGGUCCACAAAAAGGUCCCUCACAUUGUGUGGCCAAUUUUAAUUGGUCCAACACAUGUGUGGGCCAUAAACUAGUAGAGAUAUUUUGUGGACUUAAAAAGAUGACUUCAAGUCAUCUUUCUAUCAUUUUACACUUAGACAAAAAUAACAAAAGUUGAAGAGCUCCAACAAGGAGGCUCACGGCUAGAGCCAUGGAAAAUCAAGUCCCAUUUUUGCCUCUCUAAAAAUUAUUUCUUUGGUAUAAACCCACUAUUUGGAGGUCCCUAAGUGGCGUGGAAGUAUCGUUUGGGUCAUCCAACCAUCCUUUGUGUCAAAUAGCAAACCCUAGCCAUUUGUGAAAUUGAAGAAGGAAAGACCUUGGGGAGCCCGAGGCGUAGAUUGGAAUUUACUUUAGAUCGGCUAGCUUGGAGUGCGUACGAGGUAUGUAAAGCUUAGCCCUUCUUUCGUUUGGCAUGCUCUAGUUGUAAAUAGGCUAGACUACUAGCCUUAAGGAAAUCCUAAAUUCGAAAUCCGAUUUCGCUAUGAUCUUUACAUAUAUUCUUUGGCAUUCCUAUGUAUGAUAUGAUGAAAUAUGAACUAUUAUGCCUUUGAAGAAACUGAUUUCCAAACUUUGCACAAUAAGUUGUUUUAAAGAAUUCCGAGCUAUAAACGCCAUAUCUUCCUCCGAAAGGUUCGGAUUACUUUAAUAUUUUGGUAAGAGUUUAUAUAGCAUAUGAUGAAUAUAUUUUCUAUAGGCGGGCCCGACUCGGGUCAAUACCCGUCCGUGGGUCCCGCGACUUUCCUUUAUGUAAUUUGGAAAUUUUUUGAAAGAAUUUGUUAUGAUUAUUAUUUCGAAUUUCAAGUGUGAUCAUUUUGCUUAUGUUUGAAUUUAUGAUUUUAUGCAUAUGACUACUCACGACUCUACUCGUGCAUUCUGUUAUUCUUUCGCCGAGUCCCGGGCCGGUUCUGUUAUCGUGCGCACUUUGAUAUACUCUGGAGUUAUGCUGUGUUUAUGGUUCACCGAGCUACUCGCAAAAGAGGGUCGGGUUCCACUUAUAUUUGGUGUUAUGUUGGGUAUGGCGUUAUGCUGUGAUGUGAUAUGUGAUGGAGAUACGGAGAUUUGAGACUUUCCGGUGUUAUGCUGUGUUAUGGCGCCAUCGACGGGCUGGCGACCAUAUUCUUCUGUACCCUAUGCAUGACUUGUAUAUUUUUUUUAACCUAAACAUUUGGAUAUGAUUGGGUUUGUACUUAUGUUCGGCACUUCUGUUUCGUCUAUGCCUCAGGUACAGACGCACAGUUUGGUGAUCUACCCAUUUAGGACACCCUCUUCUGCUGUUUGGAGUGCUCUUCUCAUUUCAGAGCGCAAAUUUUGAUAUAUAUAUUUGUUCGCUAUGUAUAUAUGUAUUUGUUCAGGGGUACGGCGGGGCCCUGUCCCGCCAUAUGAUUCGGUUUGUCUGUUUAGAGGUCUGUAGACGUAUUGUGGGUGUGUGUGCCUACUUAUGUACAGGUGUGUUUGUAUGAUCUCAUUUGUUAUGGCAGCCUCGUCGGCGUGCAUUUUGUGUAUGUUUAUGGCAGCCUUGUCGGCGUGCAUCCUGUAUGUGUUUUGGGCCGUUGUGCCAUUUGACAGCCUUGUCGGCUUUUGAUACAUUUGACA